rnacentral:ncRNA from 1 species
CCUCCGAAGUUUCCCUCAGGAUAGCUGGCACUUGGCAAUGGGCAGUUUUACCCAGUAAAGCGAAUGAUCAGAGGUCUUGGGGCCGAAACAAUCUCAACAUAUUCUCAAACUUUCAUUGGGUAAGGGGGCCAGCUCGCCGGCAUGGAACCGUGCCAUGGAAUGCGAGUGCUCAGUGGGCCACUUUUGGUAAAGCAGAACUGGCGCUGCGGAAUGAACUGAAUGCCAGGUUCAGGCGCCCGAUGCCCACACUCAUCAGAGCCCAGAAAUGUUACAUAUUAACUCUCAAGUCCUUUGAAACCAAUCUGGCCGUACUUCCAUUUACACGUGUAGGAAG